rnacentral:rRNA from 1 species
AGUGAACGCUGGCGGUAGGCCUAACACAUGCAAGUCGAACGGCAGCACAGUAAGAGCUUGCUCUUACGGGUGGCGAGUGGCGGGCGGGUGAGGCAUACAUCGGACUCUCCUUUUUCGUGGGGGAUAACGUAGGGAAACUUACGCUAAUACCGCAUACGACCUACGGUUGAAAGCAGUGGUUCUUCAGGCCUUGCGCGAUUGAAUGAGCCGAUGUCCGAUUGGCUAGUUGGUGGGGUAAAGGACCACCAAGGCGACGAUCCGAAGAGGGUCUGAGAGGAGGAUAAGACAAGUAGGAAAGGAACCGAGGUACAGACUCCAACGGGAGGCAGGAGAGGGGAAUAGAAGACAAUGGGAGCAAGCCUGAUCCAGCCAUACCGCGUGGGUGAAGAAGGCAUUCGGGUUGUAGAGGCCAUCUGUUGGGAAAGAAAAGCAGAAGGGUAAAACCCCGCUGUGCUGACGGUACCCAAAGAAUAAGCACCGGCUAACUUCGUG